AUACCCCAUGAUGCUCAGGUCCGCCGCAUCUCCUGGGUUCCGUGGGGUCGGCCGGCCGGCGGCUGGCUCAAAGUGGCCUCCUCGUACCGCUGCCAGUUCCGCCGGUCGGCCCCUUU
rnacentral:sRNA from 14 species